rfam:Candidatus Kaiserbacteria bacterium RIFCSPHIGHO2_01_FTLL_48_10 rifcsphigho2_01_scaffold_36110, whole genome shotgun sequence.
GGAGGGUUCGCAUAGCGGUCUAGUGCACCGCCUUGGAAAGGCGGCAGGCCCGAAAGGGCCUCGAGAGUUCGAAUCUCUCACCCUCCG